rnacentral:rRNA from 1 species
AUGAACGCUAGCGACAGGCUAACACAUGCAAGUCGAGGGGUAACAGGGUAGCAAUACCGCUGACGACCGGCGCACGGGUGAGUAACGCGUAUGCAACCUGCCUAGUAACUGGGGGAAUAGCUCCCUGAAAGGGGGAAUUAACACCGCAUAACACUAUUGAUUCGCAUGGAUUAGUAGUUAAAUGUAGCGAUACAGGUUAUAGAUGGGCAUGCGUGACAUUAGCUAGUUGGUGAGGUAACGGCUCACCAAGGCUACGAUGUCUAGGGGUUCUGAGAGGAAGGUCCCCCCACACUGGUACUGAGACACGGACCAGACUCCUACGGGAGGCAGCAGUGAGGAAUAUUGGUCAAUGGGCGCAAGCCUGAACCAGCCAUGUCGCGUGCAGGAAGACUGCCCUAUGGGUUGUAAACUGCUUUUAUAGUAGAAGAAACACAUCUACGCGUAGAUGUCUGCCAGUAUACUAUGAAUAAGCAUCGGCUAACUCCGUGCCAGCCGCAGC